UGGCGUACGGGUGCGUAACACGUGUGCAACUUACCUUUAACAGGAGAAUAGCUCCGAGAAAUUGGAAUUAAUACUCCAUAACAUUAUGAAACGGCAUCGUUUUAUAAUUAAAGCUCCGGUGGUUAAAGAUGGGCACGCGAAACAUUAGCUAGUUGGAGAGGUAACGGCUCACCAAGGCAACGAUGUCUAGGGGUUCUGAGAGGAUUCACCCCCACACUGGUACUGAGACACGGACCAGACUCCUACGGGAGGCAGCAGUAAGGAAUAUUGGUCAAUGGACGCAAGUCUGAACCAGCCAUGCCGCGUGAAGGAUGACAGCCCUAUGGGUUGUAAACUUCUUUUAUACAGGAAAAAACCUUCCGACGUGUCGGGAGUUGAUGGUACUGUAAGAAUAAGGAUCGGCUAACUCCGUGCCAGCAGCCGCGGUAAUACGGAGGAUCCAAGCGUUAUCCGGAUUUAUUGGGUUUAAAGGGUGCGUAGGCGGAUUGGUAAGUCAGUGGUGAAAUCCUACAGCUUAACUGUAGAACUGCCAUUGAUACUAUCAGUCUUGAGUACAAUUGAAGUGGGCGGAAUGUGUCAUGUAGCGGUGAAACGCAUAGAGAUGACACAGAACACCGAUAGCGAAGGCAGCUCACUAAACUGUAACUGACGCUGAGGCACGAAAGCGUGGGGAUCAAACAGGAUUAGAUACCCUGGUAGUCCACGCCGUAACGAUGAUUACUCGAUGUGUGCGAUACACAGUACGCGUCUAAGGAAACCGAUAGUAAUCCACCUGGGGAGUACGAUCGCAAGAUUGAAACUCAAGGAAUUGACGGGGGCCCGCACAAGCGGAGGAGCAUGUGGUUUAAUUCG
rnacentral:rRNA from 1 species